rnacentral:pre_miRNA from 1 species
UAGAUACUUCCUCCGUCCGGAAAUACUUGUCGUAGAAAUGGAUACAAAUGGAUGUAUUUAAAACUAAAAUACAUCUAGAUACAUCCAUUCUUUGGACAAGUAUUUCCGGACGGAGGAAGUACUAU